rnacentral:misc_RNA from 1 species
AACGAAUUUGAUUUUAGGGCAAAGCGGUUGCUGAACAAACUGUAAAAUUGCCGGUGUCGACAAGAAAAAGGCUUCAUUGCAAAACUGGAUGCGAAUGAGAUCGGGGGUCCGAAUCCCUCUGAAGCCGGUUCAGAUGCACCUCGGGAUGCGAAUCACGAGGGAAGGGCUGAGAGUCAAACCAAUGACUUUUCGAGGCCGUGUAAAGGUUUGCACUCAGGACGUUAAAUGGGUUUAGCGGAGCAU